rnacentral:lncRNA from 1 species
AGCCCAAGAACAGUGUUACUGCCAUUUAACGCCGCGAUGUUUUAGCUCCAGGAAUUUGGACCCUCCUGCGAUAAGAAUCAGUUGAAAAGGUUGGUCUAUGCUACUUCUCUAAGGAUGAUUAGAUGUGCUUUGUUGUUAAUUGUAGUGAUAGUGACUAUGAUUGAAUUGGUAAGAUGACAAAUUGACAGUUAUUGCUUGAUGAUCUUACUCUUUUUCGUCACAUUGCAUACUUCUUAGAUGGGAAUCAUCGAAUGUAUACAUAUAUGACAGUUAUAACUUAUAGGGGGGACAACAUAUUAACUGUAUUUUAUUCCUGAUUGAGCAAUCUUAUAGGGGGGGGAUUAUUUCUUUUAUACAUCUGGCAUCAAUUUGUUCCUUAUGAGGAAGAUUUUCAUGUGGUAGUCAUAUGCUUUGCGUGCAACUGUUUGUAUGCUGCAAACCUGGGUUGUGCAGGCAGCAUCUGGUUUCUUCAUUUGCUAUUUUUAUGUAGUUAUGUUCUCGAAAGCAAUUAAAAUUUUCAUCUUGCACCUGAGACAAACCUAGAAUCUAGAUCACAAGGGAAAUAUGAUGUGAAUCACUUUUUCUAUUGUUUCUAAAGUUAGUUAUGGUCGUCAGAAUUUAUUAAGCAUCAUAUCUUUGAUAUGGCGGUCUACCUUUCCAAAAAGUUGUAGAAAUUCUCACUUAUUCUGCUUCAAGAUGCUAUAAGACUAGCUUAAUCUGUAGCAAAGAACAUUUUCUUACUUAACCUUAGUUUCACUCUGAACUAAAUGUGUGUUUUCAUCCUUUUUACAGGAAAAUUCGUGCAACAGGGAUUUGACCCUAAACUCUUUUUAUUAUACAAACUACAAAGUGAUCUAAUUUCCAUUUUCUCCCUAUGCAGUCAAUCAAAAGUCUUAUUGGCACUUCUUGCUGCUACUACAUUCAUGAUGACCACUGUGUCAAGCCUUCCAAGUAUCUGCUCUCCUGAUGUUUACACAAGGGAGACGCUACUAAGGAAGCAGAACAUGGAGAAGUUUUCUUGAUGUUUACACAAGGGAGAUGAUACUAAAGAAGCAGAUCGUGAAGAAGUUUCAAUGAAUUAGAGAGUUAUAGAUGCCAGCUGGUCCUCUACAUAUCUGUUACCUGAUAAAAAUAAGAAAAAUGCAUGUGCUGCAUUCAUUAAGGCUAAUAGCUCUCAAUUUUGCCAAUGGUAAUGGGCUGUUGGGUAUCAACCGAAUGACAAUAGUGGCCUGAGGGGUGGUAACAUGGUUGCCUCUUGCGGAAUAGCCAUUUAGAUAUUAUUUUGUUGUGUAAUCUUAAUCUCCAUCCAAAUCAUAUUUAAUUUGUAUGUUAAUCUUCUCCUGGUGGAACGCAUGGGCAUGUUUCCUAUACCAUAUGUGUAUGAUUUAAAAUCAAUAAGCAACUCAAG